rnacentral:lncRNA from 1 species
UUUAAUCUGGCUUGUCUCGUGGGUCCACUUGGCGAAUUGUAAUUUGCUUUAACCCUAACACUUAUAUUCUCUUGCCUCACCUAAAAUUUUAAUUGUUCACUUUUAACAAAAAUAUAAAUUCCUGUGCUCAGAUUUUAAAUUUUAUGGGCAAAUUGUCCUUCUUAUUUGAGAUUUUGUGGAGUGAAAUAAGGAAUUGUAUUUAACCUGGUAAUUUUGUUUAUUUAUUUAUUUAUUUUGACGACAUUUAGAGUUUGUAAUAUGUGUUUCUUG